rnacentral:rRNA from 1 species
ACUACACAUGCAGUCGAGCGGAUGAAGGAGCUUGCUCCUGGAUUCAGCGGCGGACGGGUGAGUAAUGCCUAGGAAUCUGCCUGGUAGUGGGGGACAACGUUUCGAAAGGAACGCUAAUACCGCAUACGUCCUACGGGGGAAAGCAGGGGACCUUCGGGCCUUGCGCUAUCAGAUGAGCCUAGGUCGGAUUAGCUAGUUGGUGAGGUAAUGGCUCACCAAGGCGACGAUCCGUAACUGGUCUGAGAGGAUGAUCAGUCACACUGGAACUGAGACACGGUCCAGACUCCUACGGGAGGCAGCAGUGGGGAAUAUUGGACAAUGGGCGAAAGCCUGAUCCAGCCAUGCCGCGUGUGUGAAGAAGGUCUUCGGAUUGUAAAGCACUUUAAGUUGGGAGGAAGGGUUGUAGAUUAAUACUCUGCAAUUUUGACGUUACCGACAGAAUAAGCACCGGCUAACUCUGUGCCAGCAGCCGCGGUAAUACAGAGGGUGCAAGCGUUAAUCGGAAUUACUGGGCGUAAAGCGCGCGUAGGUGGUUUGUUAAGUUGGAUGUGAAAUCCCCGGGCUCAACCUGGGAACUGCAUCCAAAACUGGCA